GUCAAGUAAGAAUACCCGCUGAACUUAAGCAUAUCAAUAAGCGGAGGAAAAGAAACUAACUAGGAUUCCCUUAGUAACGGCGAGUGAACUGGGAAGAGCUCAAAUUUUAAAUCACUUUGGUGAAUUGUAAUUUGAAGAAAGUGUUUUGACUUUUCAGUUUAAUCUAAAUCCUUUGGGAUGAGGUAUCAUAGAGGGUGAGAAUCCCGUUCGUGAUUAAACCUCGGAUUGCACUAAUUCACUUUCUAAGAGUCGAGUUGUUUGGGAUUGCAGCUCUAAAUGGGUGGUAAAUUUCACCUAAGGCUAAAUAUAUGCAAGAGACCGAUAGCGAACAAGUACCGUGAGGGAAAGAUGAAAAGAACUUUGAAAAGAGAGUUAAACAGUACGUGAAAUUGUUGAAAGGGAAACGAUUGAAGUCAGUCAUGCUAGUGAGGAAUCAACUUGGUGGUUUACUUCCUUGUGUAUUUUCUUGCUUGGCAGGUUAGCAUCAAUUUUGGUUGUCAUCAAAUAAUUGGGGGAAUGUGGCUUUUCUUCGGGAAAGUGUUAUAGACCUUGAUAGAUGUGGCGACUGGGAUUGAGGUUUGCAGCGGAUGCCUUUGGCUAGUCACCUAUCUUCUGACCGUCACCUCGCUUUUGACAGCUUGCUGAUGAUUGCGGGAUUUGGUGGCCUAGAAGUUAGAAUGUACAUAAAUUCGCUAAGGAUGCUGACGUAAUGGCUUUAAACGACCCGUCUUGAAACACGGACCAAGGAGUCUAACAUAUAUGCGAGUGUU
rnacentral:rRNA from 1 species